CUCUAUCACCUCAAAGGUUACAAAGGAGAAACAAGUUCUCUUCCACAACUCUGUCAUGUCCUUGAACAAGGGUAGGAAAAGGAUCAACCUGGAGUGGUCCCUGGUGGACAGUGUCCAGCCCACCUCAUGGUGAGGACAAGCAGAGAGUAAAGGACAGGCAGCUGAGAGCAAGUUUCUGGUGGCCGGCUAAAACACAGCCCAGUUAUGGGUUGCCUCCCCUACCGAACUGAAUUCUUUGAGAGCAAGCACUGUGUCGCAUUCGGCUCUGGACCACCAACCCCUGGCGAGCUGCCUGGCUCAGAAAGGCACUCAAGGUUUAUUAAAUAAAUACCCAGGCUUGCCUGCCCUCUGGGGAAACCAGAGAACAGAAAUGUUUAACCUUUGAGAAGAUCUGCCCCGUUAUCAGAAUAAAAGC